rnacentral:rRNA from 1 species
GACAGAGGUCUCGAGCGUUAGGCGGAAUCACUGGGCUUAAAGCGUGUGUAGGCGGAGUGCUAAGUACCUUGUGAAAUCCCACGGCUUAACCGUGGAACUGCUGGGUAUACUGGUUCUCUUGGGCCACUUAGGGGCUACGUGGAACAAACGGAUGGAGCGGGUGAAAUGCGUUAGAUAUCGUUUGGAACGCCAAUGGUGAAAACAAGUAAGCUGGGAGU